UCCGUAGGUCACCGGUCCUCCCCGGGUCUGGUAAGGCACAAGCACCCUCGUGUUAGGCCAGAUCGGCUCGCCCAGCGGGCCCCAUUGUUCCACGGCGAGAGGAGAGUCAAUGCAAGGCACGUUGCUGCGUCCAGUUCAGCCCGCCCGCCUGGAGCUCGCGCUCCUCGAUCCGCAGCUAGCUCGCGAGUCGCGUCACCGAGCGGAUGUGCGGGGCUCCUAAACCGAAGAGUCGAUGGGCGAGCUCGAGCUCAUGUUGCACCCGUCGCCCGCUGACAGCGAUGAGGACCUCUACUUUGCUGAGAUCCGCUUCCAAUCGCGAGACGGCGUAGCUGUCUGGAUCGAGCUCUUCCUUCAAGACGUGGACGAAUCCGCCUCUGAUGAGCAACGCACCACCGCAAACGCUCGCGUCAUGACACGAAUGUGGGUCGAUGGUGACGAGCAACAUGACUUCUCAUACGACUCAGUGAUUGCCAUCCUCGAGAAGGCGAAAGCGGCCGUCCUUGAAGGUGAGCAGUGCUGACACCGCAUUAGCGUGUGUUCAGCCCGCAAGCCUCGACCUCCCGCGCCUCGAUCCGCAGCUUCGCUACGCCGACAGUACGACGAGACCUGUCCAGCCGCGGUGGGAAGAGCGCCCUAGUAGGCGACCUCGCCGGUGAGGAGCUCGACUCCGGUCUUGUCUUCGUCGUUCUCGUCGACCGAGAACUCGCCGUCGCCCUCGAGACCCGUGAAGUCUUCGAUUGCAUCGACGACUUGCCAUGGGGUUUUCUCCCCUUCUUCGCGCGGAAGCGUGAUGAGGGCCGUGAAGUUCCCUUCCCGCGAGCCGUCGGUACAGCUGAACGUCUUCUCGAUUUCUUGGCUACCAGCGCUGUCAACGCCGGGGCUAUCAACGAAUGUGCCCGUUGCGCAGCCAAGGGCGUCAGCGCCCUCGGUCACCU
rnacentral:misc_RNA from 1 species